rnacentral:rRNA from 1 species
AUAAAGUUUUAUUCUAGCUUAGAAAUUUAAUUUAAUUUUUCUUUUAUAUGUAAAUUUUUGUGGUAAAAAUUUAAUUUAAAUAGUUAUUUAUUUUCUGCAGUAUUUAGUUUUAUAAAUUUAGUAAUUUAAGAUUUAGGAAAUUGUUUUAGUAUUGACAAAAUUUGUGCCAGCAGUUGCGGUUAUACAGGUAAUGCAAUUAAAUUUUUUCGGUAAAUAAUUAAUUUGUAUUAUUUUAGUUAAAGUUUAAUUUUUUUGGGUGAAAUUUAAAAAGUUAAUUUUUGAUUAUAAGAAAGAUUAUGAGAUUUAUUAAAUUUUUUUUUAAACUAGGAUUAGAUACCCUACUAUUUGAAAUGUAAAUUUUUUACUUAAUUAGUAUUAGUUAUUUUCUUGAAAAUUAAAGAUUUUGGCGGUAUUUUAGUCUAUUCAGAGGAACCUGUUCUGUAAUUGAUAGUCCACGAUUUACUUUACUUGUGUUAAUUAGUUUGUAUAUCGUCGUUAUUUUGAAUAUUUUAUAAGAAUUUUAAUGUUCAAUUUUUUGAAUUUGAAUAUAAAUCAGAUCAAGGUGCAGUUUAUACAUAAGAAGAAAUGGGUUACAAUAAAUAUAUUUAAAUGGUUUGGUAAAUUAAAUUUUACUGAUAAAGUGGAUUUGAAAGUAAUAUUGUUGAAUUAAAUAAUAUGAUUUUAGCUCUAAAAUAUGCACAUAUCGCCCGUCGCUCUCAUUUAAGUUGAGAUAAGUCGUAACAAAGUAGGUGUACUGGAAAGUGUACCUAGAAUGAA